UGUUUUGAUGAAGCUGCCUUAUUUGUGGACGAUGGAGUAGCGACAGCUGAAAUCCUCCCCGGCAAUGCCGGCGGAAAGACGGGCGAUACCGUAUGUGUGUACUGGUAACAUAAAAUCUGUACAUAUCUGGCUGAUUCAAUAUCAUUAAGUUCUUCAAAACAUAAAGGUCCUAUAAUACGAGUUUCAGUAAUUGAUGAGCGCAGAUUUUUUAACAACUCUGAAUAAUUGGCCUAUUAAGAAAUGAGAAUAAAAUAAUACAAAAUAUGUAUUAAUCAUAUACUAUUUGUUUACAAAGUAAUAGAAAAGGCACAAUCUAAAAAGUGUCUGAAAACAAUCUGAAGUUAAUGGAUUUCCAGAAUAGUACCUAUUGAAAAUAAUACAGAAAUUGUCAAAUGCAUGAUUCACAAGGAACACUUCAAAAAUUAUUUGUGAACAAAAGUGCUUAUUAUCCAUAAGCAAUUACAAUUUUUUUAUCAAUAAAACAUUUAAUAUAGGCCUGCUCUCAGACAAUAAUUUACUUUAAUUGUAUAUCUAUCAGUACUAGUCUUAUUAUUUUAUUUAAAAAUUUUUUAAACCAAUAUCUAUAAGCUUGCCACUUUACAAAUGUAUUUAGGUAUUACCUUGUUAAAGAUAUAUACUACAUUAUAUAAAUUAUAAAAAACCACACACAAUAUUCAACUAAUAAAAUGUUCUUCAUUCAAUUUAAA